UCCAUCGAGCGGGUAUCGAGUAUAUAUGGUUCAAGAAAAAUGAAAUACUCGAACCCUAAUAUAAGCGAACACUGGUAUGCUCGAAUUCGACUCGUGUAUCAUUAAACAGAAAACGAGUAUGGAUCAGAUUAGACUCGGAUCAACUUCGAAUUCGAGCUUUGGAUCAUAUUUUCGAGCCAAUCUCGAGUUGAGUACCGAACUACUUGACUCGAUUUACACCCCUAUGUGCAAGUUCUUGAUUCUACCGAGGAGGUAAAUAUUGAUAAUUAAUUUGAAUUUAUUUUGUCUUUUUG
rnacentral:lncRNA from 1 species